rnacentral:rRNA from 1 species
UACGUAUGGUGCAAGCGUUAUCCGGAUUUACUGGGUGUAAAGGGCGUGUAGGCGGGAAAGCAAGUCAGAUGUGAAAACCACGGGCUCAACCUGUGGCCUGCAUUUGAAACUGUUUUUCUUGAGUACUGGAGAGGCAGACGGAAUUCCUCGUGUAGCGGUGAAAUGCGUAGAUAUGAGGAGGAACACCAGUGGCGAAGGCGGUCUGCUGGACAGCAACUGACGCUGAGGCGCGAAAGCGUGGGGAGCAAACAGG